rnacentral:rRNA from 1 species
CCUACGGGUGGCAGCAGUGAGGAAUAUUGGUCAAUGGGCGCGAGCCUGAACCAGCCACGUAGCGUGAAGGAUGACUGCCCUACGGGUUGUAAACUUCUUUUAUAAAGGAAUAAAGUGAGCCACGUGUGCCUUUUUGUAUGUACUUUAUGAAUAAGGAUCGGCUAACGCCGUGCCAGCAUCCGCGGUAAUACGGAGGAUCAGAGCGUUAUCCGGAUUUAUUGGGUUUAAAGGGAGCGUAGUUGGGUUGUUAAGUCAGUUGGGAAAGUUUGCGGCUCAACCGUAAAAUUGCAAUUGAUACUGGCAGUCUUGAGUACAGGUGAGGUAGGCGGAAUUCGUGGUGUAGCGGUGAAAUGCGUAGAUAUCACGAAGAACUCCGAUUGCGAAGGCAGCUUACUAAACUGCCACUGACAUUGAUGCUCGAAAGUGUGGGUAUCAAACAGGAUUAGAUACCCCUGUAGUC